GACGAACGCUGGCGGCGUGCUUAACACAUGCCAGUCGAACGGAAAGGCCCCCAUCUUGGUGGGGGUGCUCGAGUGGCGAACGGGUGAGUAACACGUGGGUGAUCUGCCCUGUACUUCGGGAUAAGCUUGGGAAACUGGGUCUAAUACCGGAUAGGACCAUGGUUUAGUGUCUCAUGGUGGAAAGAUUAUUGUUUUGGUGCAGGAUGAGCUCGCGGCCUAUCAGCUUGUUGGUGGGGUAAUGGCCUACCAAGGCGUCGACGGGUAGCCGGCCUGAGAGGGUGGACGGCCACAUUGGGACUGAGAUACGGCCCAGACUCCUACGGGAGGCAGCAGUGGGGAAUAUUGCACAAUGGGCGCAAGCCUGAUGCAGCGACGCCGCGUGGGGGAUGACGGCCGUCGGGUGGUAAACUCCUUUCGUUAGGGACGAAGCCGCACUUUUUUUGGGUGUGGUGACGGUACCUUUGUUAAGAAGCACCGGCUAACUACGUG
rnacentral:rRNA from 1 species